rnacentral:rRNA from 1 species
UAUAAUUAGAUGUUGACAAAUUUAUUUUUUAUAAAUUUUAGAAUAAACUUUAUUUUUAGUUUAAUAAAUUAAAAAAUAAAAAUUAUAAUAGUAGAAUAGUAAUGAAAAUGAAAAUUUUAAAUAUUUAAAUAUAUAAAAGAAAAAUUUAUUUUUUGUACCUUGUGUAUCAGGGUUAAUUUAAUUAAAAUUAAAUAGUUUAAUUUUCUCGAAUUAAUAAGAUCUAAGAAUUUAUUUUUUAAUUGUUUUAUAAAUUUUAAUUAUAAAUUUUUAGUAAUGAAAUGUUUUUCGUUUAUUAAUAUAUCUAGUUUUUUAAGAAAUAAAUUUAAUUUAAAAAAUAAAAUUUUUUAUUCUAAUUAUUAGUUUAUAUAUUUUAUUAUUAACAAAUUUAGGGGAUAAGCUUUAAAUUUAAUUAAUAAAAAUUUUAAAUAAAAAUUUGUAUUUUAGUUUAACUAAUGUUGUUAAUCUUUUUAAUAAUGUAAAAGUUAUAAUAUGAAUAUUUUGGAUUUAUAAUUAUUUUAUAUUUUUUAUUAAAAUAAAUAAUUAAAUGAUUAUAAUUGUUGUGUUUAUGAUUAAAUUAGUAAAUAAAUUUUUAUUAUAUAAAUGUUUUUGAAAGGUAAUAUUAAGGAACUCGGCAAAUUUAUUUUUCGCCUGUUUAUUAAAAACAUGUCUUUUUGAAAAAAAUAUAAAGUCUAGUCUGCUCAAUGAAUUAGAUUUAAAUAGCUGCAGUAUUUUGACUGUACAAAGGUAGCAUAAUAAAUAGUUUUUUAAUUGAAAGCUGGAAUGAAGGAUUGGACGAGAAAAUUACUGUCUCAAUAUUAUUAAAAUUUGAAAUUAACUUUUUAGUUAAAAGGCUAAAAUGUUUUUAAAAGACGAGAAGACCCUAUAGAGUUUUAUAAUUUAUAGUAUUUAAUUUAUUUAGAAUUAUUAAUAUUUAAAUAAUUAUAAAUUAUUUGGUUGGGGUGAUUAAAAAAUUAAUUAAACUUUUUUAUUUAAUUAAAUUAUUUAUAUAUAAAUUUAAAAUCUAUAUAUUAAAAUUAAAAUAAAUUACCUUAGGGAUAACAGCGUAAUAUAUUUUUGAAGUUCUUAUUUAAAAAUUUGUUUGCGACCUCGAUGUUGGAUUAAAAUUUAUUAUUGGUGUAGAAGCUAAAUAAUUGAGUCUGUUCGACUUUUAAAAUUUUACAUGAUCUGAGUUUAAACCGGUGUAAGCCAGGUUGGUUUCUAUCUUUAAAUUAAUAAAAUUUUUUAGUACGAGAGGACCAAAAAUUUGAUAUAAUAUUUAAUUUUUGAAUAAAAUU